GCACCUCGGACAUGACCUUUAAGACAUAACCUUUGGAAGACAGAAUUGAUAAAACAGGUAAAAGCAUCAGUGAGCAGCUGGACCUGUCACGUGACCACAGCACCCGGUGGAGACAAGUGGUGACAAUCAGUCACAUAGGGGCAGUGCCCCAAGCCCCUCCACAGGCAGUGAGGCAUCCCUAACAUCUUAGACCAAGCCAGUAGAAAGCAUCUGCUGUCAGACCCCAACCCACCGCAAAAUGUACGUAAGAACCUGUUCAGAAGGAGUAAAGUUGUGAGAAUUACUCCAUCAAGGGUUUUCUGAGAACUUCUGUCUUAUAGGAGCUGUAACACUUCCUGGGGAAGAGAAUUCUCUCUUCCCUUUGCUGCUGGAAGCUGUCCGGGCCAACCAACCACACUCACUGGUUCCUAGCCACACACCCUCCCCCAGGGCUGGCUGUUUUGCAGCAUCUCACAGCUUCCGACCUACUCCAGAGUUGCUUUGGCGGCUUGAGCUGACUGCAGUGCCUAGCUGAGUAACAGCAGCCACAGAAGAGAGCAGCAACUGCCUCAAUCCAACUUCCCUCUCCCUUCGGAGAGUGCAACUCCUUGACUGAUCCAGCUGGGCCAGAGCCUUCCCCCACCCCCAUCUCCG
rnacentral:lncRNA from 1 species